ACAAGCCCUGAUGGGGGCCUUUAGGCACUACUCUGAUACAAACAACAACAACGACCGCUCUAUAGGGCAAAGCAGAAGAUGACAGCUGAGAUAAAUGGAGAAGAUCCCUAGUAAGCUAUAGUUAUAUCUUCUACAUCAGCAAAGGAGUGAAAUCCUAUUCCAGAAAGAACACAUGGCUCAAGAUCGCAAUAUAUGUUUACUGGAUGUCUCCUCCAUCCCCACCCAAAAGACAAGGGAUUUGCUGUGGUUUGGCAAGUAAGAGAAGACCCAAACGGACAAAAAGAGGAAGUUGACUGACUACAUUGAAACUCAUUUCACAAACUGCUGUCCAAUGCACAAAGUAAAAUUGAAAAACCAA